GACGAACGCUGGCGGCGUGCUUAACACAUGCCAGUCGAACGGAAAGGCCCUGCUUUUGUGGGGUGCUCGAGUGGCGAACGGGUGAGUAAUACGUGAGUAACCUGCCCUUGACUUUGGGAUAACUUCAGGAAACUGGGGCUAAUACCGGAUAGGAGCUCCUGCUGCAUGGUGGGGGUUGGAAAGUUUCGGCGGUUGGGGAUGGACUCGCGGCUUAUCAGCUUGUUGGUGGGGUAGUGGCUUACCAAGGCUUUGACGGGUAGCCGGCCUGAGAGGGUGACCGCCCACAUUGGGACUGAGAUACGGCCCAGACUCCUACGGGAGGCAGCAGUGGGGAAUAUUGCACAAUGGGCGGAAGCCUGAUGCAGCAACGCCGCGUGCGGGAUGACGGCCUUCGGGUUGUAAACCGCUUUCGCCUGUGACGAAGCGUGAGUGACGGUAAUGGGUAAAGAAGCACCGGCUAACUACGUG
rnacentral:rRNA from 1 species